rnacentral:rRNA from 1 species
AAGAAAGUAAGAAAGGGCGUAUGGCGGAUGCCUAGGCUCACGGAGGCGAUGAAGGACGUGAUAAGCUGCGAUAAGCUUCGGGUAGGUGCAAAUAACCUUUGAUCCGGAGAUUUCCGAAUGGGACAACCUAGCCGUCUGAAGGACGGUUACUCAAUCUUCAAGAUUGAGAGCUAACGCAGGGAACUGAAACAUCUUAGUACCUGCAGGAAGAGAAAAUAAAUGAAUGAUUCCCCCAGUAGUGGCGAGCGAACGGGGAACAGCCCAAACCAGUGGCGUCGCAAGGCGUGGCUGGGGUUGUAGGACCGCGACAUUGUAUGCAAAUC